CAUCUAACGAAAUCAAAGAAAUAUCUGAAGAUAUUGAAAACUUUAAUUGAUUGUUAGCGCUUGAGGUCCAGUACAAUGAGUUAACAUGUCUACCUAAUAAUGUGAUCAAACUGGAUAAACUAUCUAAAAUAUUUGCAAGUCUCUCCUAUAUGUUAGGAAGGUUUGAGUCUCUUCAUUAUCUUCUCUUUGAUGUCAUCCUCUUAAUUAAAUGAAUGAGACCUGACAUCCUCCGGAAAGGAACAGUAUUGGUCCCCUAGUAUCUCUUGUAUUGAAGAACCAGGAGACCACAUGUGACGGCCAACCUUUCCCUCGUCCCUCAAGAUCCCCUCGUCACCAUACAAGUAAGGAUGAGGAGUGGGUGGAGUGAGGGGAGGUGUGGUCAGAAAGGAAGUUGGUGAUGAUGAAAGCUAUGCUACCUCCUGAGUUAUGGUAUACUGUUACUGUUCUUAUGGGGUACCCAAUGUAUGCUCCUUUUCAUCAAAGAGGAAGAAUUACUCUAACAACUAGAUCAGUAGCGUUGCUGAGGAAAAUGACUGUUGCUAUGACAACUGAACAUGUACAUCAUUGAAGAGAUACUC